AACCUGUGAAACCAAAGCGAUCAAUUACAACCAGGGCCGCGAGGUUCUUUCCAUUACCUUGACAAUGUAAUCGAGAAAAGCCUUGUUCGUCAGAGGGAGGUCAAAACCGCCAGGAACCACGAGCACAUCGGGGCUUGGAACUUGCUCGAAACAAACCGGGGCUUCCACUCGCAGAUGACCAUCAUCGGCAAGGUACAGGCCAGCAGUCUCGCUCACGAAUUCCACCCGCACCCCCGGAAUUCUGUGUAGAACUUCGUAAGGCCCGAUCGCAUCCAGGGCUGUGAACCCGUUGAAUAUGGGAAUUGCCACCACAACCAUCGCUUAUCCCACUUAUGAUCUCGUCGCAAGACUGCUGUUUUAUUCUCUCUUGCAGGGUAGUUGCGUAGCCGGAAUUGUUACUGAAAGUUCACAGAAACUCACGUCAACCACUCUUCAAGACAAUGAAACUGGCCAAACCUGGAGCACGAGGGCCAAAAGAAUCAAAUCGAUUGUAUCGAAUCUACACAAUGAAAGUAAUAAUUAACAAAUAAAAGCAGCAAUUUACAACUUACCAAAACAAUAUUUCCAGACGAAUGAACUGUAAAAUUGACAGGACACGUACCAGUUAAUUUUGCAUAUCCAGGCAAGGAAUAUAUAAGAAAAAAACAUCCGGAUGCCUCGAGCUGCAAAAGCAACUGGAAAACUUUCUAUCAGGAUUUGGAAUAGACCCUCCUGUGGCCUCUAACUCCUGAAAUGUCAGCUUCUAAACCACCAUCACUUUCAAACCCGGUGUUAAAAGCUGAAGAAUGAAAAUCGCUUUGCGGGCUCCUUGCACCCAACCCUGAGUUUUGAGCCUUUUCUCUUUCCUCGGAUUCUUUCAGCAAGAAAUCGAUCCAAAGGUCCGCAAAUGACUGCACGAAAACAGAAUUGAAUAGGAAAAUACCAUGAACAAGAUUACCUGAUCAUUGCUUGUCGUAAAAGACGAAUUGUCAUUACCGCCAGAUAAGAUACCUCCGACGACACGCCCUGGGAGGCCAAAAACGCUUCUCAUAACACCCGGUUUCCCAGAAUUUUGAUGAGCGAGUCCAACCCUUCGUUUGUCAUCGUCGGAGAACCCCAGCAUACGGGCCAUUAAAUCAAGAACCUGUUAGAAAUAUUAGAAAAGUCAGAAUUUCAAAAAGCUCCAACUACCUCGUGGUUAUGUCCUCUCUCAAAAUAUGUCACGAGCAAUUUGAUAACAAUGCGCCUAAAAGAAGAAAUUUAGCCAGUACAUGAUACGAACCUCUUUACCUGUCUACGGAAUAAUCUGAAUCUGAAGACAUCCUGUUUAGACGGAUCAUGCUUUCUUCCAGAGCACGGCGUAACCUGCAUUUUCUGUGUUUUUUGUUGAUUUUCAAGCCCUUUUCGUUCCUCGACGUGUACUUUCUCUACAACUUCUUUCUUCUGUGCUUCUACUACCUCAACCAUCCGCUUUGCUGCCUGUUGAACAAAUAUGUAAGUUGAAUCUUUCAUUGACCGACUACUUACUUCCAAACUGUCCGAAAACUUCCUGAGAUCUUCCUUUGCAGUAUUGAGUUCUCGUUGAAUGCGCUCCUGCAAUAAUCAACUUAAGCAGCUUCCCAAUCGAUCAAGAGUACCUUCGCAUCAGUUUCUGCAUAGUACUGCCCAAGUGCCACUUGGAGAUUGGCUAUCUCCUUGUCUCUAGCCUCCAAGACGGAAUAAGAGUUCACAAGCUUAGACUUUAGAGAUUCAAUCUCCACCUUCGAUGCCUGCAAAUCUUCAUUCGAUCUUUUACUGGUAUCAGUUUGAGAAGAUAAAGCCUGCGCUAACGCUUGCUCCAGCUGUAUGACACGGGCACAAGUUGCUGAAAAUUUUCCCUCAAGUAUAGCAAUCUGCUCGCUAUCUCGGUCCAUUUUUUCUGAGUCGGCAUUUUCCUGUUUACAAUCCAGCGUUAAAACAAUGAAACCAGACGGUGUGUCAUGGACGGUGCUCAUCACAGCCUUGGGCCAUAGCCAGCAGAGCUCGAGCGCGGAGCUCGUGUUGAGCAAAAUGCCGCAGGUGUCGGAGAUCUCCUGGAACGCUCUCCUCUCGGCCCACGCUCGCGAACGAUGCUCGCCAUCGAUCGAGAAGGACCUUCACGGGCCCUGGAGCAUCUUCAAGAACAGGAUGGAGAGGAGGGACGAUCUCUCGUGGACGAUAAUGGUAUCCGCCUUCGCGGACUCGUCCACGCCUGAGAAAUCUCGCCGGGUCUUCGAUCGAAUGCCACAGUGGAGCUUGCUGUCGUGGAAUGCGCUGCUACGAUCUUACGUCCAGGCCGGUCGCAUCACAGAGGGAGUGUGGAUCUUCUCGCGUGCCAUGCCGCAGCGCAACAGCUUCUCCUGGAACAUCCUCAUUGCGGCUCUCUCUCAGAGCAGCCACCUCGGCGAUGCGAGGGAGCUCUUUGCCGCCAUGCCCGCUCGUAGCAUUGUGUCGUGGAACUCGAUGAUCCAGGCGCUGGCCCUCAAUGGCGAGCCACGGGCCGCCAUCGCGCUUUACUGCGGCAUGGACCAGGAAGGCAUCCCUCCCAGUGAUGCCACCUUUGCGAGCAUCCUCGAGGCGUGCUCCAUUGCCUCGGCGCUCGAGCAAGGCAUGGAAAUCCACCGGGAUAUCGCCAUUGCCAAUCUGGUGAUCAAGGCUUCGCUCGCAAGCGCACUCGUCAACUUCUAUGGCCAGUGUGGCGGCGGCCUGGAUCGAGCCCGGGAGAUCUUCCACGGGGCUCCUCCUGCAGCGGUGUCGGGGUGGAAUGCGAUGGUCGCAGCGCUGGCGAGGCAUGGGCAUGGCCAUCAAGCGGUGGAGCUCUUCAUCCGGAUGCUGCUCGAGGGAAUGGAGCUGGACAGUGUCGCAUUCCUGGGAAUUCUCACUGCCUGUGGCUACGCGGGGAUGGUGGAGGAGGCGAGGGAGCUAUUCGUCCUUAUGGCGGAGCAUGGGAUCGCCGCUGGAGCCGAGCACUACCACUGCCUAGUGGAGGUGGUGUGCCGGGCGGGGGAGCUCGAGCGAGGUGUGGAGCUGACUGUAAGCAUGCCUUUCCAUCCGGGCGUGAUUCCAUGGAACAUGAUACUAAACGUGUGCAGCACUGUUCUGGUGGAUGGGAAAGUUGGCGCCUGGGUUGGGGGCGAGAUUAUGUUGCUGGAACCCGUGGAGUCUGCGCCGUAUGUGAUGCUCUCCAACCUUUCCACUGCCUGCAUUUAGCUAUAAUUAUUUGAGCUCCACUGGCACUAAGAAAUCCUUCUCACCUUGACAUGGAUGAUCUUCUUUGUCUCAGCUUUGAAAGGGUUUUCCAUCUCGGCAGGAUAUAAUUAUUUGAGCUCCACUAGUGAUGAGGUGAUGGCAGCAGCAGCCACCACUCUGGACUACUAAAAUUUUAUAUUUUUACCUAUAAUUCUUUCCACCAAAGGUUUUGACUACUUUAAAGAUGUACUAUAACUAUCAAUAUGUUGUUGAAAUUUUAAUAUAGGAUGAAUAAUAUCAUUUAGCUUCUAUUGUAUCAUUUUUAAAUUGUUAUUAAAUCAUAGAUAAAAUAAUAUUUUCAUUAAGAAAAUUUUGUAAGAUAUCCAUCAUCUUUUACUGCAAUGUUGCUUUUAUAACUUUUGAUAAAGUGAUAUCUUCCUGCUCCAUAUUUAAAUUUUUUUUAGUAUAAAUUACCUUUAUAGUAGUCUUUAGUUGAAUUCUUUUUAAUGCUGCACAUUUCAAUGAAUAUUUUCCUGCUCAAAUUUUUAUAAGUAUUUUAAAAUUAUAAUUAAUAAGUGAAUUACCUUUGUUAUAGCUUCCAAGUCAAGUUUUUUAAAAUCUUGUUAACAAUAAAAUAAGUCAUCUGACCCAGGUUUUAAGAUUGUAUAUAAAUGUGAUAGUUGAGUUUCAUAGUCUAGUUAAUUUACUCUUCUUGUUUGAUAUAAUAACUUUUGCUUCAUGCUUAUAAAAGUUUCUUUUGGUUGCCCAUAUAUAAUUAUACUAAGUUAGAAAAGCUCAAUCACUGUGUUUUUUACUUUUGACAACAAAAUACCAUAUAACUGGAUCUGAAGAGGAUUAUACAUGGAAUUUGUGAGUAUUGUCCUUGUCAAAUUUUAUUUGAAAGUUGUUAAUAUUUCUUGCUUUAACAAUCACACCAUCGAUUAGCUUUUUGUAUGCAUAGAUUCGAAUAAAACCAUGAUCUUUAUAAUAAUUAAUAAAUCAAUACCUCAUAUGAACCUUAGUAAUAAAUUAGUGAAUUGCCCCAUCUAUCCUUCAAUUAUGAAUAUAUAUAUUUUUUAGACGAGAGUAUAACCUUUAUAUUUGCAUGGAAUGCCUCAAUCAAAAUAUUUGUCUACUUCGAGCAGCAACAACCCACAUAUCUAUUAAAUAUAUAUUAAAAUAAAUUAUAAAAAUCAAAAAUUAGUUCAUUUACCAACUGUAAACAACUAAAUUUUUAAUUCUAAUUUAAUCACUUAAUCAUGUUGGAAGAAUCUCACUGUUAACCUCCAUAAGUCUUGGUUUAGAAGCUUGUGUCCAAUCUAUUAUCUGCACUAGGAUGUUCUACACUGUCUGGGUAAAAAAAGCAAAAGCUGAUUUUUUCCUGUUCUUUUCUUUUUGAAAAGCUGUACUGUUUUGUUCUUCAGGUUUGGUUCAUCAGGACAUUCACAUGGACAACGUGAUCCGUGACUAUUUAUCAACAAGGAAUUUUAUAUUGAUUGAUCUCAAUUGGUUGGAGAGCCAAGUGAUGUUGGUGAGUCUUUUCUGACCGGCUGAACACAAACGAUUCUGAGGGAAGGCUGCUAUUACACCUUCGGAUCAGAUCUUCAUCAGCUUGGGCUGCUGCUGGAGAAAACAGCAGUCCCUCUGUCUCUGUUGGCUUGGGAUUUUAUCAGCCAGCUCAAAUCUCAUGGGCAGAAGUAAAUUUUGUGAUAAUUCAUAACAAAUUGUAGCAAAUUGCUGAUGCUAAUAUGUUUCUGACAGUGUUUCUGUGACGACUGUGAGGCAACACGUGUGACAACUUGAGGCAACACGAGUGGCUUGUUGCUGGCAAUACAAACAGCAAGAACAAUUAGCUGAGCACACUGUUUGAGACAUAUUAGCUUCUGUAUAUUUUUGAUUCCUCGAGUCCAGGCUCUCGGAACAGUUCUACACCAAGCUCUACACGAAGAUGGAAAAAAUGAUAAAAAUCUCACUUUGACAUCGUGUUCGUGAUUUUUAUGCCUUCUUAAUUAUCAGAUGCCACAAGAGAUUUAGCAUAGCGAAUCCAUUCGAGAAUCUUUAUUCAGAGGAAUAAACGAGAUCACUGAUUUUGAAGAGAAGGCAAGGCUGCGGUGAUCUUUCUAGCCAGAUCCACAACCUCCUUGCUUGCUUUCCCCACGCUGCCCGAAUCGAAUGGCGGCUGGGGAUCAUACUCAAUCGCCAGUUGGACAGCCUUGGCCAUUGUUUCAUCUGCUAGCAAGGCUGCCACCUCCAAAUUCGAGUCGAUCCCAGCCGACACGCCGGCGGACAUGAUAAUCUUCCCCUGCAUCCCACGAAUUGAGCUCAUUAGCCCACCAGAAAACGAAUCUAGCGAACUCACCUGACGUAUAUAUCUCUGAUGAACAGGAGUAACUCCAUAAGAAGCGAGGUUGUCAAAAGCUGCCCAGUGCGUCGUCCCCUUGAGGCCAUGGAGGAUUCCAGCAGCUCCCAAGAGGAGCGCUCCAGUGCACACAGAAGUGGUGUACAGGCUUGUUUUGUGAACCUGUGAAACCAAAGCAAUCAAUCACAACCAGGGCCGCGAGGUUCUUUCCAUUACCUUGACAAUGUAAUCGAGAAAAGCCUUGUUCGUCAGAGGGAGGUUCUUGACAGGACCGCCAGGAACCACGAGCACAUCGGGGCUUGGAACUUGCUCGAAACAAACCGGGGCUUCCACUCGCAGAUGACCAUCAUCGGCAAGGUACAGGCCAGCAGUCUCGCUCACAAAUUCCACCCGCACCCCCGGAAUUCUGUGUAGAACUUCGUAAGGCCCGAUCGCAUCCAGGGCUGUGAACCCGUUGAAUAUGGGAAUUGCCACCACAACC
rnacentral:lncRNA from 1 species